GCCAGGCAUGAUGGCUCAUGCCUGUAAUCCCAGCACUUUGGGAGGCCGAGGCAGGUGGAUCACCUGAGGUCAGGAGUUCAAGACCAGCCUGACCAACAUGGUGAAACCCUGUCUCUA
rnacentral:sRNA from 1 species